UACGUAGGUGGCGAGCGUUGUCCGGAUUUAUUGGGCGUAAAGCGCGCGCAGGUGGUGCGGUAAGUCCUGUGUGAAAUCUCCCGGCUCAACUGGGAGGGUGCGGAGGAGACUGCCGGACUGGAGGCACUCAGAGGCCGGUGGAAUUCCCGGUGUAGUGGUGAAAUGCGUAGAUAUCGUGAGGAACACCAGAGGCGAAGGCGGCUUCCUGGACAAUUGCUGACGCUCAGGCACGAAAGCGUGGGGAGCAAAAGGG
rnacentral:rRNA from 1 species